GAUGAACGCUGGCGGCGUGCCUAAUACAUGCAAGUCGAGCGAACAGACGAGGAGCUUGCUCCUCUGACGUUAGCGGCGGACGGGUGAGUAACACGUGGAUAACCUACCUAUAAGACUGGGAUAACUUCGGGAAACCGGAGCUAAUACCGGAUAAUAUAUUGAACCGCAUGGUUCAAUAGUGAAAGACGGUUUUGCUGUCACUUAUAGAUGGAUCCGCGCCGCAUUAGCUAGUUGGUAAGGUAACGGCUUACCAAGGCAACGAUGCGUAGCCGACCUGAGAGGGUGAUCGGCCACACUGGAACUGAGACACGGUCCAGACUCCUACGGGAGGCAGCAGUAGGGAAUCUUCGGCAAUGGGCGAAAGCCUGACGGAGCAACGCCGCGUGAGUGAUGAAGGUCUUCGGAUCGUAAACCUCUGUUAUUAGGGAAGAACAAAUGUGUAAGUAACUAUGCACGUCUUGACGGUACCUAAUCAGAAAGCCACGGCUAACUACGUG
rnacentral:rRNA from 1 species